rnacentral:lncRNA from 1 species
UUUUUUUUUUUGAUGAGAAAGGGGUGAAGAGAAGGAGAGUGAGAUGGUCACAUGGGCUUCGAGAACUUAGUGGGUUUCCGGAAUGAAAUCUCAAUCCGGGCUAGAAGACCGGAAUCAAGUUGAAGACUAAUGAGCCAUUCCCAUUCCAGUCCGGAAUAGAAAUUUCAAACCGAUUCAUGCGAACCAAACAAAAUUAACCGGAUUUGAUCAAACCGAUUUCCAUUCCAUACCCAAAAUGGAUGAACCAAACAAACCCUUAAAGUUUAUGAAAAGCCUUCGACUCAAACAUAAGAAACUAAUGAAUAUAAAAAAUAUUCAAAAUAUUAUUCUUCAACUAUU